rnacentral:lncRNA from 1 species
UCCACAUUUCCUUCCUAAUGUUCCUAUUGUUUCCUCUUUAUAUAUCAAGUAUUAUUUCACAUGUCAUGUUAUAAACCUUUGGCUAUUAUCAAAUGUUUUGGAUAGAGAUUCCUAAGGGCUAAUUUUGUGUUAUAGGGUUAAGUUUUAUGCUAAAUAUCUUAUUGGAGAUGGGCUUAAAUGGAUCAACAUGAGUAGUGAGGAUGCACGCAUGGUCAAUUCAACUGCUUGAAAUUGAGGCGUAAUUUUAACAUCGUUAUUGUAUCUUAAUAGUGAUGGUAUAGUUACGAAGAGAGCUUUCUUCAGUCCACACAUGGGAGGUGAUAAGGUUCAAUUUGCUGCCGACUCAUUCAUCCAAAUGCUGAGGUUAGAUAGUCAAAAGCAUCUCAGUGGCUGAAUGAAUGAAGCGGGAGUACAAGUUGUGUCUUAAGCUUCCUGUGCUUGGACUGAAGGGAGCUCCCUUUUACCUGUUUUCAUACUGACUAUAUAUCUCCCUACUUCAAUCUUAUUCAUUACUUUGUUAUGUUCAUGUUAAUAUGCAUAAUAACAGUCUUGAUUGUUUGCAAGCAUCUGACUAUUUCUGACCAGACAAAACAUAUAGUAUAUUACUAAUAUACUUUUGUCCUUUUUUUUCCUUUCCUUUUUAGUACUUAAACUAGCUAGUUAUCAUAUGAAUAAAGCUUGGAAUCUUAUGGUUUUUUUAUUUUUGGUUGUUGAUAUGGUUUUACUUGCUAGGGUUAAUUAAUACAAGGAAUUUUCUUGGGUGAUUAGGGUUAACACUAACGGCUUUGUCUUUUUUAUUUGCAGCUAAAGGUUUGUUAAGAUGAUUAUAUUUCUUUUAUUCUGGCCUCAUACUUAACCUAAAUUAUUUAACAUUUGAGUUGUUUAUAUGUGAAGCUUUUAGGGUUUUUCUGAAGCUCUACAAUGGAUUUCUCUUACUAUAUGCUGAGAUAUUUUUCAUGGAAUAAGAUGGAUGAAGCUCUACGACAACUAUUUUUCUUGGUUUUUGGUGUUACAAGUUCCUAGACAAUGUCUCCUCUUAGCUAGGCUGAAUUUACCAAACUAUCCUCCAAUCAUCUAUUGAAGAGUUGAAGAUGUAUUUCUUCUUAUUGCCCGACCUUUCUUUUCCUUUUUUCUUGUCCUUUUGUCUGAUACUUUCCUCUAUGUUCUUAUGUU